GUGGGGAAUAUUGCGCAAUGGGGGAAACCCUGACGCAGCGACGCCGUGUGAGGGAAGAAGGCUUUCGGGUCGUAAACCUCUGUCAGGAAGGAAGAACCUCUCAAGGCUGAACAAGCCUUGGGACUGACGGUACUUCCAGAGGAAGCACCGGCUAACUCCGUGCCAGCAGCCGCGGUAAUACGGAGGGUGCAAGCGUUAAUCGGAAUCACUGGGCGUAAAGCGCGCGUAGGCCGUCUUUUAAGUCAGACGUGAAAGCCAUCGGCUCAACCGGGGAACUGCGUUCGAUACUGAGAGACUUGAGUCCUGGAGAGGGUGGCGGAAUUCCGGGUGUAGGAGUGAAAUCCGUAGAUAUCCGGAGGAACACCGGUGUCGAAGGCGGCCACCUGGACAGGUACUGACGCUGAGGCGCGAAAGCGUGGGGAGCAAACAGGAUUAGAAACCCUUGUAGUCC
rnacentral:rRNA from 1 species